CCUACGGGUGGCAGCAGUGAGGAAUAUUGGUCAAUGGACGCAAGUCUGAACCAGCCAUGCCGCGUGCAGGAAGACGGCUCUAUGAGUUGUAAACUGCUUUUGUACGAGGGCAAACGCAGACACGCGUAUCUGUCUGAAAGUACUGUACGAACAAGGAUCGGCUAACUCCGUGCCAGCAGCCGCGGUAAUACGGAGGAUUCAAGCGUUAUCCGGAUUUAUUGGGUUUAAAGGGUGCGUAGGCGGUCGGGUAAGUUAGAGGUGAAAUCCCGGGGCUCAACUUCGGAAUUGCCUCUGAUACUGUUCGGCUAGAGAGUAGGUGCGGUAGGCGGAAUGUAUGGUGUAGCGGUGAAAUGCUUAGAGAUCAUGCAGAACACCGAUUGCGAAGGCAGCUUACCGGGCUACAUCUGACGUUGAGGCACGAAAGCGUGGGGAGCGAACAGGAUUAGAUACCCGAGUAGUC
rnacentral:rRNA from 1 species